rnacentral:hammerhead_ribozyme from 1 species
GCACUGUUGAAGAUUCCCACAAUAGGACGAAACGGUCGUCCAGUGC